CAGGUCUUCCUGGAGUUGUACCUAGGCCAAACUUCCUCUGUUCCUGUUACCUGUGGCAGCUUUUGGAACACUACCACAGCCAUCCGGGCCUCGCUGAGCACCUAGCAUGCGCAGAGCACCACGCGACAGCCACCAUUUCACUGAAGCUUGUUGUGACUCUCACGUCCCUGUUCUUUACGGGUACCGCUGAUUCGACUUUUAAAUUCCGAUUCAACUAACUCUGAGCACCCACCUGAUCUAGUAAGUACAGUGUUUGUUAAUCACUUUAUUUCGUGUGAAUUUUUUAAUCACCAUGCGGGCAGCUUUGUACGCAGAAACACUAUUUGGGCUUACCUGGUUUUUAAAAAUGGAUAUUUUAUUCAUUUAUUUAAAAAACAAGGGGCGCCUGGGUGGCUCAGUCAGUUAAACAACCAACUUUGGCU